AAUCAACGCUGGCGGCGCGCUUAACACAUGCAAGUCGAACGAGAAAGGGGAGCAAUCCCUGAGUAAAGUGGCGUACGGGUGAGUAACACGUGGAUGACCUGCCCUCUGGUGGGGAAUAACCUUGGGAAACCGGGGCUAAUACCGCAUAAGUCCGGGAGGAGAAAGUCGAAAGACGCCGGAGGAGGGGUCCGCGGCCGAUUAGGUAGUUGGUGGGGUAUAGGCUCACCAAGCCCGAGAUCGGUAGCCGGCCUGAGAGGGCACACGGCCACACUGGCACUGAAACACGGGCCAGACUCCUACGGGAGGCAGCAGUGGGGAAUCUUGCACAAUGGGGGAAACCCUGAUGCAGCGACGCCGCGUGAGCGAUGAAGCCCUUCGGGUGUAAAGCUCUUUCGACGGGAACGAUGAUGACGGUACCCGGGGAAGAAGCUGCGGCUAACUACGUGCCAGCAGCCGCGGUAAUACGUAGGCAGCGAGCGUUGUUCGGAGUUACUGGGCGUAAAGAGUAUGUAGGCGGUUGUG
rnacentral:rRNA from 1 species